UGGUUUCUCUUCAGAUUGCAUGAAUCUUUCACCUUUUACUAAAAAUUUCCCUGGAGAGGAACACCAGU